rnacentral:lncRNA from 1 species
AGAGAGAAAGAGACCAGAGAGAGAGAGACCAGAGAGAAAGAGAGCGAGAGACCAGAGAGAGAGAGAGAGAGAGACCAGAGAGAAAGAGAGACCAGAGAGAGAGAGAGAGAGACCAGAGAGAAAGAGAGAGAGAGAGAGACCAGAGAGAGAGAGACCAGAGAGAAAGAGAGCGAGAGACCAGAGAGAGAGAGACCAGAGAGCGAGAGACCAGUAAAAAAGAGAGUGAGAGACCAGAGAGAGAGAGACCAGAGAGCGAGAGACCAGAGACCAGAGAGCGAGAGACCAUAGAGAAAGAGAGGGAGAGAAAGAGACCAGAGAGCGAGAGACCAGAGAGAGAGAGAGCGAGAGACCAGAGAGAAAGAGAGCAAGAGACCAGAGAGAAAGAGACCAGAGAGCAAGAGACCAGAGAGAAAGAGAGCAAGAGACCAGAGAGAAAGAGAGCGAGAGACCAGAGAGAAAGAGAGCGAGAGACCAGAGAGAAAGAGAGACCAAGAGAGAGAGAGAGCAAGAGACCAGAGAGAAAGAGAGCGAGAGACCAGAGAGAAAGAGAGUGAGAGACCAGAGAGCGAGAGACCAGAGAGCGAGAGACCAGAGAGCGAGAGACCAGAGAGAGAGAGAGCAAGAGACCAGAGAGAAAGAGAGCGAGAGACCAGAGAGA